GAGUUUGAUCAUGGCUCAGAUUGAACGCUGGCGGCAGGCCUAACACAUGCAAGUCGAGCGGUAGAGAGAAGCUUGCUUCUCUUGAGAGCGGCGGACGGGUGAGUAAUGCCUAGGAAUCUGCCUGGUAGUGGGGGAUAACGCUCGGAAACGGACGCUAAUACCGCAUACGUCCUACGGGAGAAAGCAGGGGACCUUCGGGCCUUGCGCUAUCAGAUGAGCCUAGGUCGGAUUAGCUAGUUGGUGAGGUAAUGGCUCGCCAAGGCGACGAUCCGUAACUGGUCUGAGAGGAUGAUCAGUCACACUGGAGCUGAGACACGGUCCAGACUCCUACGGGAGGCAGCAGUGGGGAAUAUUGGACAAUGGGCGAAAGCCUGAUCCAGCCAUGCCGCGUGUGUGAAGAAGGUCUUCGGAUUGUAAAGCACUUUAAGUUGGGAGGAAGGGCAGUAAUUAAUACUUUGCUGUUUGACGUUACGACAGAAUAAGCACCGGCUAACUCUGUGCCAG
rnacentral:rRNA from 1 species